rnacentral:ncRNA from 16 species
ACAUAGCCCUAACACGAAGGUGCUCUGCUUCAAUCGCAGAGUUAAAAGGGAAGUCGGUUCAAAUCCGACGCGGUCCCGCCACUGUAUGUGAGAGGAAGCGCAUCAAGUCACUGAAGCAAACUUAGCUUUGGGAAGACGCGCAACCACUGAUCACAAGCCAUGAGACCUGCCUACGUGCGCAACACCCGC